ensembl:lncRNA
UUAGUCUGUGCAACUACAUUCCGGUGUCAGAGGCGGGGUCUCCAGCAUGACCUGGGGUCACAGGGCCCCCUCCCCCUGCGCUGAGCUUCACCACACUCCACCCCAUAGAGCUGCGAGCGGCUUCACUGCUUGCCUUAACCGCUCAGGACACGUGGCCCCGCCACGGUACGCUUAUCUGCCAUGGUGAUUGCUCAGUUCCCCCCACAUUUUCAGCUCUGCAGGUCCCUGCAAUUUGCCGGGGCUUGUUUUCCUCCUCCUCUUAACAAAAUCUCGCUUGUUCUAAACCUGUUUGAGAGCCAUUUAAAAUUCUCAGAAUCGAUUUGGGACCAAGGGACCUUCCUGCAGCUGGACUCUGCUUGGCGGUAUACCUGCGCCACCUGCUGGCCAAACAUAGUUACUGCAAGUUGAGAUCUACAAUUAAAAGAGAACAAGCACCACAGUUCCGAGACCAGGAUAUUACUGAAGGAGAAGAAAAGCUUUGGAUGCCACCAAAGUUGAUCAAGAUCUGCUAUGAACAGGAGAAACCUCUUGAUGAGGAUGAAUGCUAGGUCAUCCACCAAGGUACAUCCCACGAGUUGUAUGGAGACCUCUCAAAGGUAGGGGGAGUGUUCUGUUCUUGUCUUUACAGGAAAACAGAAAACUCCCAUCUUCAAAAAGUCAAAAGACACUGAACAUGCAGGUACCUAAAGAAGAGAAGAUAGCUAUCCAGAAAGAACUAUCAGACAAAGAAGAAUCUGACAUAUGUCACCAAAUAUCUAACUCUGGUGAACUAGUUCUGUACAAAAACCUAUUUCUCUUUACUUCCUAGUACUCUUUUAGUCCCAAUUCACGUAAACCAUUGCUGGCUUUGGAGUUGGGUUUGGCUUUCCUCCUCUGAAUCCAAGCAUGCUGUUAAAGUAAAAUUUUCUGUCUCAUAUCAAGAAUAAUUGAUGUAAGACAGAAGAAAACAAAAUCUAGGGACUGUCAUUUGUCUAAACUCGGGUUCUCUCUCUGAAAUCCUAAUUUCCCUCAUAAUUAUUUUCAUCCUUAUUGUUACCUUUUAUGCAUACCUAUAAAAGUUGAAAUUUCUGUGUUGAUAUUAAUGUUUAAGUUUUCCACGAGGAACAAUAACAUUUCCUGACAGCAAUCUUUGAACUCUCCAGAAAGAGGAUGGGACACCACCUCAUCAAUUCCACUUGAUCCAACUUUUGGAAGCCACUCGCCUGCACUUCCUGCCUACCCUAGUAUUGUUAUCUUCCUUCUCAGGUCUUUGAUGAGGCUGAAGAUUAGACUGUCAUGAUUAUUGUUCUCUCUUCCUAGAUAGAAAUAUUAGGUACAAGACUUAAACUUCCCAGCUUAGAACAACUCCGUAGUAAUCUCUGCUGUGCCUUCACCCUAGGAGUGGAUGUGUAACUCUUCCCGUUUUGCUCUUGCUGCUUCACUGGGUACAGGUCUUAAGUGUGUCAUGGACAGCAGCCUGGGUGUGGAUCCUUGGAGCUGAAACUUGCCGGUCAUCGGUUUCUUAUGUAACUUCUCCCUAUAUAAAAUUAACCUAUAUUUAACCUAGUCCCGUGUAUCUUAAUCUGUGCAACUAUAACCCUCACCACAUAAUAAUCAAAACACCAAACAAAAUAAAGAAACAAUAUUAAGAGCUGAAAAAAGGCCAACUAACAUGUAAAGGCAGACCUAUCAGAAGUACACCUGACUUCUCAAUGGAAAUUCUGAAAGCCAGAAGGUCCUAGAUAGAUGUUCUACUGACACUAAGAGAUCACAGAUGCCAGCCCAG